rnacentral:lncRNA from 1 species
CGGCACUGCAGCUGAGGACCCCCGCGUUCCCUAGCAACGCCCCAAACCUGCGGAGGCGACUCCUGCACCCGCCGGGCCCACGCUGGGGGUAGGCGAGGGGAGACGCGCCUCGCCGGGCUUCUUCCUGAACAGGGUUUCUCUCCUUCCUCCGUGAAAAAGGAUCCCGAGGUGGAGUCACGGUGGAGGAACUCAGAAGCUCUUUGCUGCAGCCCAGUGGCCGCCGGCGGAACCUGACGGGGCUCGAGGCCCGGGCGGGACAGGGCCAGGCCGUGAGCGUGCCCUUUAUCCCCCACAGCCGUGAGUUUGGGGGCAUCUGUCCCCCUUCGCAGGGGCUGUAUGAUUAGAAACAAACACAGUGAAUGCAGUUGCCAAGCACUGUCCACCAGAAAGAUAGCAUGGACAUUGAGGCAGCCAUGACAGGACAACUAAAGACACACCUGAAAGAGGACUUCCAGAGCUACUUCAGAAAGUGGCAAGAACAAUGGGAUAAGAGCCUCCAUUCUGAUUUCCAUAAUGGCUUCAGUAACCUACAUUCCCAGCAGGAGCCCACAAAGAUUCCUUUUCCUCCACACCUUCACCAAUACCUGGCAGCCCUUGCUCCCUUACUAACAGCCAUUUACCAGAGAAUGAACUAAGGCACCUCCCUAUUCAGAGGUUCUCCAGAAACAGUGAGGAGACUGCAGACCUCCGACAUCUACCUGCUGCUCAGGGGCAGUAUUUCAGCAGGAGCCUCCCAGCCAAAGUGCCAGGGUUGCUUUACAGAGCCAGACCCAACCUCAGCGGAAACCACAGGCCCGGGACACAGACACUGCCGAUUUAAGAAGUAAUUACAACAUUGAACACGGCCUUAAAUAAAAGCAAAAAUGCAGGAGACAGGAGGGAAAACAGAAGCAUACAUUGGGAACUAUGCCAUUUUCCCCAGAUGUUUUGUAAUAUUUGCAACCUGGCUGCAUCUGACAUGAGCUGAGCACCCACCCAGGAGGAGUGGGUGGCUCUGUCCUGGAAAGAGUGAGAAGAAAAAUAAAUAAAUAGAUUAAUUAAUUAAUUAAAAUUCAAAAAGCAGUGAGAAGAAAUGCCUCAAUAUCAGAGAUCAUCCAUCUGCCUGAAUGCCUUUUUGUUUAAUGCCCUUCUCCAGUGAGAACCCUCUUCUACUGGUCCUCAAGGAAUGAAUUAGUAUACUAUAUCAUGACAAGUAAUGAAAG